rnacentral:tRNA from 1 species
GCCCUAGUGGCUCAGCUUGGUAGAGCGUCUGAUGAAAAGAUGAAUCUCGUAACAAAGCAAGAAAACAGAAGGUCGCAGGUUCAAAUCCUGCCUAGGGCU